UUUCUAAGACUUAUUCUAACUACUUAUACACAUUUAAGGUUUGUUUGGUCGUUAUAGGACAUAUUUAGGCUAAAAUGACAUUUUCGCUCCAAACUAUGAACUAAAGAACCUAAGGACUCAUUUUAAACUUACUAAAUGUUUUAUAUGCUUAGUUUUGACUUUCUAGAACUCAUUCCAAUCUAUUUAUGCAUAUUUAAGGCUCAUUGUGUCGUUAUAGGUCAUAUUUAGGCUAAAGUGCCAUUUUCGCUCCCAACUUUGAACUUAAGAACCUAAUGACUCAUUUUAAACUUAUUAUAUGAUUAAUAUGCUUAGUUUUUAGUUUCUAAGACUUAUUCUAAUCUAUUUAUGCACAUUUAAUGCUUGUUUGAUAGUUAUAGGUCAUAUUUAGGCUAAAAUGAGGCAUUUUCGCUCCUAACUUUAAAAUAAAGAACCUAAGCACUCAUUUUAAACUUAAGACAUGUUUAAUAUGCAUAAUUUUAACUUUCUAAGACUCGUUCCAAUCUAUUUAUGCACCUUUAAGGCUCAUUAGGUCAUUGUAGGUCAUAUUUUAAACUUAAGACAUGUUUAAUAUGUAUAUAUUUUCGAUUCUGCUAGAGAUCCACGUCGAACAGAUUAUGCAUGGGGAAUCUUGAGUUUGUAAGUUCUUUUGCUUACAAAUUACAUUAGUCUUUAAGAAACCUAAGCCAAAAUCAUAUUCAUGAGUACCCAUGUUUCGUUAAUUUUCUAGGGCAUACCAAGUGUACAAGUGCAAUGGUGGGCAUUGUCCGAAUAAAACGAGUUUUAAGUCGUGUAAACCCAUUCAUAUAGAGUGUGCUCAACAAAUCGGCGGAACUGAGUGUGGCUAUUACGUUAUGAAGUUCAUGUUAGAGAUAGUCACGUUACAACAUGACUAUGAAGGCCGGCUAGAUGAGGUCUAUACUCCGAGGACCGCGCCUUAUGCUAGUGAGGAAAUUGAUGUGGUUCGUGAGCAAUGGGCGAAGUUUUUUACCACCAAGUAUUUAUUAUUGACCUGAGGGCGCUUGAUCGUGUUGGUUUAGAUGUUAUAGAACAAUCUUUUAUGUUAAAAUGUAUGCGUACGUUGAAAUUGGAACGUAAAUAUAUUUAAAUGUAUCGGUAUGUGCACUUUUGGU